rnacentral:ncRNA from 1 species
AAAGCAGCAUGAAAGUGCGUGCUAGUCAUGUAAUAUGGCGACACUGUCAAAUUGCGGGGACUUCCUAAAGCCUUCAUCACCAAGCCGUCAUGGAAACAUAGAUGGUGGCCGAGCUAAUAGCCCUGGGUAUGGUAAAAGUAUGAAGGAUGCUACAAUGGAUAAUCCGCAGCCAAGUCCUAACGAGCGUCAUGCUCCAUGGAUGCAGUUCAACGACUAGACGGCAGUGGGUGCUACUCGCAAGAGUAGUGCUUAAGAUAUAGUCUAAACCAGGGCGAGAGCCUAUG